AUACGUAGGGGGCGAGCGUUGUCCGGAAUGAUUGGGCGUAAAGGGCGCGUAGGCGGCGCGGUAAGUCUGGAGUGGAAGUCCUGCUUUCAAGGUGGGAAUUGCUUUGGAUACUGCCGCGCUUGAGUGCAGGAGAGGUUAUCGGAAUUCCCGGUGUAGCGGUGAAAUGCGUAGAGAUCGGGAGGAAUACCAGUGGCGAAGGCGGGUAACUGGACUGCAACUGACGCUGAGGUGCGAAAGUGUGGGGAGCAAACAGGAUUAGAUACCCUGGUAGUCCACACUGUAAACGAUGAAUGCUAGGUGUUGGGUAGCGAUAUUCAGUGCCGAAGUAAACACAAUAAGCACUCCGCCUGGGGAGUACGGUCGCAAGACUGAAACUCAAAGGAAUUGACGGGG
rnacentral:rRNA from 1 species